rnacentral:rRNA from 1 species
AGAGUUUGAUCCUGGCUCAGGAUGACGCUGGCGGCGUGCUUACACAUGCAAGUCGAGCGAUGAAGUUUCCUCGGGAAACGGAUUAGCGGCGGACGGGUGAGUAACACGUGGGUAACCUGCCUCAUAGAGUGGAAUAGCCUCCGAAAGGAAGAUUAAUACCGCAUAACUGUUGAAAGAUGGCAUCAUCAUUCAACCAAAGGAGCAAUCCGCUAUGAGAUGGACCCGCGGCGCAUUAGCUAGUUGGUGGGGUAACGGCCUACCAAGGCGACGAUGCGUAGCCGACCUGAGAGGGUGAUCGGCCACAUUGGGACUGAGACACGGCCCAGACUCCUACGGGAGGCAGCAGUGGGGAAUAUUGCACAAUGGGGGAAACCCUGAUGCAGCAACGCCGCGUGAGUGAUGAAGGUUUUCGGAUCGUAAAGCUCUGUCUUUGGGGAAGAUAAUGACGGUACCCAAGGAGGAAGCCACGGCUAACUACGUGCCAGCAGCCGCGGUAAUACGUAGGUGGCGAGCGUUAUCCGGAUUUACUGGGCGUAAAGGGAGCGUAGGCGGAUGAUUAAGUGGGAUGUGAAAUACCCGGGCUCAACUUGGGUGCUGCAUUCCAAACUGGUUAUCUAGAGUGCAGGAGAGGAGAGUGGAAUUCCUAGUGUAGCGGUGAAAUGCGUAGAGAUUAGGAAGAACACCAGUGGCGAAGGCGACUCUCUGGACUGUAACUGACGCUGAGGCUCGAAAGCGUGGGGAGCAAACAGGAUUAGAUACCCUGGUAGUCACGCCGUAACGAUGAAUACUAGGUGUGGGGGUUUCAACACCUCCGUGCCGCCGCUAACGCAUUAAGUAUUCCGCCUGGGGAGUACGGUCGCAAGAUUAAAACUCAAAGGAAUUGACGGGGACCCGCACAAGUAGCGGAGCAUGUGGUUUAAUUCGAAGCAACGCGAAGAACCUUACCUACACUUGACAUCCCUUGCAUUACUCUUAAUCGAGGAAAUCCCUUCGGGGACAAGGUGACAGGUGGUGCAUGGUUGUCGUCAGCUCGUGUCGUGAGAUGUUGGGUUAAGUCCCGCAACGAGCGCAACCCUUGUCGUUAGUUACUACCAUUAAGUUGAGGACUCUAGCGAGACUGCCUGGGUUAACCAGGAGGAAGGUGGGGAUGACGUCAAAUCAUCAUGCCCCUUAUGUGUAGGGCUACACACGUGCUACAAUGGCUGGUACAGAGAGAUGCAAUACCGCGAGGUGGAGCCAAACUUAAAAACCAGUCUCAGUUCGGAUUGUAGGCUGAAACUCGCCUACAUGAAGCUGGAGUUCUAGUAAUCGCGAAUCAGAAUGUCGCGGUGAAUACGUUCCCGGGUCUUGUACACACCGCCGUCACACCAUGAGAGUUGGAAUACCCGAAGUCCGUGAGCUAACCGCAAGGAGGCAGCGGCCGAAGGUAGGGUCAGCGAUUGGGUGAAGUCGUAACAAGGUAACC